GACGAACGCUGGCGGCGUGCCUAAUACAUGCAAGUCGAACGCUUCUUUCCUCCCGAGUGCUUGCACUCAAUUGGAAAGAGGAGUGGCGGACGGGUGAGUAACACGUGGGUAACCUACCCAUCAGAGGGGGAUAACACUUGGAAACAGGUGCUAAUACCGCAUAACAGUUUAUGCCGCAUGGCAUAAGAGUGAAAGGCGCUUUCGGGUGUCGCUGAUGGAUGGACCCGCGGUGCAUUAGCUAGUUGGUGAGGUAACGGCUCACCAAGGCCACGAUGCAUAGCCGACCUGAGAGGGUGAUCGGCCACACUGGGACUGAGACACGGCCCAGACUCCUACGGGAGGCAGCAGUAGGGAAUCUUCGGCAAUGGACGAAAGUCUGACCGAGCAACGCCGCGUGAGUGAAGAAGGUUUUCGGAUCGUAAAACUCUGUUGUUAGAGAAGAACAAGGACGUUAGUAACUGAACGUCCCCUGACGGUAUCUAACCAGAAAGCCACGGCUAACUACGUGCCAGCAGCCGCGGUAAUACGUAGGUGGCAAGCGUUGUCCGGAUUUAUUGGGCGUAAAGCGAGCGCAGGCGGUUUCUUAAGUCUGAUGUGAAAGCCCCCGGCUCAACCGGGGAGGGUCAUUGGAAACUGGGAGACUUGAGUGCAGAAGAGGAGAGUGGAAUUCCAUGUGUAGCGGUGAAAUGCGUAGAUAUAUGGAGGAACACCAGUGGCGAAGGCGGCUCUCUGGUCUGUAACUGACGCUGAGGCUCGAAAGCGUGGGGAGCAAACAGGAUUAGAUACCCUGGUAGUCCACGCCGUAAACGAUGAGUGCUAAGUGUUGGAGGGCUUCCGCCCUUCAGUGCUGCAGCAAACGCAUUAAGCACUCCGCCUGGGGAGUACGACCGCAAGGUUGAAACUCAAAGGAAUUGACGGGGGCCCGCACAAGCGGUGGAGCAUGUGGUUUAAUUCGAAGCAACGCGAAGAACCUUACCAGGUCUUGACAUCCUUUGACCACUCUAGAGAUAGAGCUUUCCCUUCGGGGACAAAGUGACAGGUGGUGCAUGGUUGUCGUCAGCUCGUGUCGUGAGAUGUUGGGUUAAGUCCCGCAACGAGCGCAACCCUUAUUGUUAGUUGCCAUCAUUUAGUUGGGCACUCUAGCGAGACUGCCGGUGACAAACCGGAGGAAGGUGGGGAUGACGUCAAAUCAUCAUGCCCCUUAUGACCUGGGCUACACACGUGCUACAAUGGGAAGUACAACGAGUCGCUAGACCGCGAGGUCAUGCAAAUCUCUUAAAGCUUCUCUCAGUUCGGAUUGCAGGCUGCAACUCGCCUGCAUGAAGCCGGAAUCGCUAGUAAUCGCGGAUCAGCACGCCGCGGUGAAUACGUUCCCGGGCCUUGUACACACCGCCCGUCACACCACGAGAGUUUGUAACACCCGAAGUCGGUGAGGUAACCUUUUUGGAGCCAGCCGCCUAAGGUGGGAUAGAUGAUUGGGGUG
rnacentral:rRNA from 1 species